AAAGCAGGAGGGAGAAAGAAAGAAAAUCACAGCCAUACAUUCUGCGCUUCCCCCAGCUGAGCUGUAUCUGCAGUCGAACGGUGGGGGAAAAAAACCCCAAAAGAAACAGCAACUUUAUGGAGACGUGCUCCUCCCGCAAACCUGCCAGCCUCAUCUGUCAGCCAUUAGUUAAUCAGGGCUGGUGACUGGAAAAACUGGAGAGAGAACGGGCGAGGCCCCUGGGACUGGAGGACAGCUUCAAUCUCCGAGAGCGCAACGAGGGCAAGGACUCUGGAACCUGAAGAUCCACAGCUGGCUCUACAGAAAUGGUAGCUGGAAAACCCCAAGUGAACCCCACCCACUGCAUAACUCACAACAGGAAGGUUUUGAAGGACCGGAGUCCAAACGACACAUGCUGUCACUGGUGGUGGUGGGAGCAGAGGAAUUUCAAGAGCCGUGGAUCAGUUCUGUUCUGCAGAAAAACAACCCGGAGUAACAUCAUGCUAUCUUUCACAUAGUUGUGAUGUGCAAAGUCGUUCUAAUUGUGAAUGCAGAUGAUGACAUGAAAUAAUUACUUCCUGUUUCUUCUGUUUAGCAGACUGUUAACUGUAAGCACAGCAAACUUCAGACAGGUUGAUGCUAAACAGCCUAUUCUGGACUCGGUGCCUGUAAGUACAAAUCUGCCAGAUACAAAUAUACAGAACAACACAUUUUUUCCUACUUUCUUUUCUGAAAAGAGGUAAGUAAAAGUAAAAGCAAAAGCCAGGUUUAGGAAAUCGUAUAAAAAGGUAUAGUUCGAAAGUAAUGCAGAUUUGCAUUAGUUUCCUAUAGUUUAAAAUGAUUUCAAUGAGAUGCCCAAGAAAUUUGCAUGACUAGUAUUUUCUCUGGUUGUACAUGUAUGCCUUUUACACUUUACUGUACAAAACACAAAGCAGCAUAAAGAUAUUUAUGAUGUACAAUAAGCAUUUUAAAACCGCAAUUUGUUUCAAAUUGAAAAAUGAACAAAUAGGAGUUAUUCAUAUGUUAUACCAAAACAUUGUUAAAAUGUUAAAUGGACAAAAAAAAAGCUAUUAUUUUUGGUAGCAGUAAAGGUAUUUGU